rnacentral:rRNA from 1 species
AAUGAACGCUGGCGGCAGGCCUAAAACAUGCAAGUCGAACGCCUGUAGCAAUACAGGAGUGGCGCACGGGUGAGUAACACGUGGGAAUAUGCCUAUUGGUACGGCACAGCUCCGGGAAACUGGAAUUAAUACCGUAUGGUCCCUUCGGGGUAAAGAUUUAUCGCCAAUAGAUUAGCCCGCGGUGGAUUGGCUAGUUGGUAGGGUAAUGGCCUACCAAGGCGACGAUCCAUAGCUGGUCUGAGAGGACGAUCAGCCACACUGGGACUAAGACACUGCCCAAACUCCUACGGGAGGCAGCAGUUAGGAAUAUUGGACAAUGGGCGCAAGCCUGAUCCUGCCAUGCCGCGUGAGUGAUGAAGGCCUUCGGGUUGUAAAACUCUUUGGCCGAUGAAUAUAAUGACUGUAGUCGGAAAAUAAGCCCCGGCUAACUUCGUGCCAGCAGCCGCAGUAA